AGGAUUAACGCUGGCGGCGUGCAUGAAACAUGCAAGUCGAGCGCGGUGUGAUGCGGGGUAACCCAAUUCACAUCUAGCGGCGAACGGGUGAGUAACACGUGAGCAACCUACCUUUGAGUUGGGGAUAGCCCUGGGAAACCAGGAUUAAUACCCGAUGUGGUCACAACAGGACAUCCUGAUGUGAGUAAAGGCGCAAGCCGCUCAAUGACGGGCUCGCGGCCUAUUAGCUUGUUGGUGGGGUAACGGCCUACCAAGGCGAUGAUGGGUAGCUGGUCUGAGAGGACGAUCAGCCACACUGGGACUGAGACACGGCCCAGACUCCUACGGGAGGCAGCAGUUAGGAAUUUUCCGCAAUGGGCGAAAGCCUGACGGAGCAACGCCGCGUGAGUGAUGAAGACCUUAGGGUUGUAAAGCUCUGUCGGAGGGGAAGAACACAAUGACGGUACCCUCCAAGAAGCCCCGGCUAACUACGCGCCAGCAGCCGCGGUAAU
rnacentral:rRNA from 1 species